CGGAUGCGCCAAAAAAAAGCUUGUCCGAUCUUGUUCGGCCGGUGUGUAUCUGCGUGUGUGUGUCAUUUUCACCGAUGCUGUUUAUAGGGAUACACAUUGUGAAGUCCUGAUCCGAGGCCUUUGUGUGCAUCCAUCUUCUAGCGCCUUUGUCAUUUCGGCUAUCUGAAAAGGUUGAGAUAUCGAUGUAAAAAGCCAUCCAAGUUAUUAGAGGACAUAUAGAACAUGUAGAGCUUCGGUUAAAAUGCCGCACGCCAUAGUUCAGACAACUGAUGCAAGAGGAAAUGCCGAGCUAUAUAUAGUUCCAGAGGGCUGGAUACAGGAAACAAGCCGAGGCAAAUCAUAUCAUCUUUGGCCAAAAUAUAAAAACAAACGCCAUCUUCAACAAAUGGUUAGCGAUGGGAAUUGCACGGGCAAUCCCAACUGGGAGAAGAUUAAAUGCAUCGUGAAAAAAAGAACAUCGGUACGCUAGAAGAUGCGGAGCAACUGGUAACUGCUAUGAGUGACGAAAAUAACUCUGAUUUUAGCAUCACAUCUGCACCUACAUUAGAUGGUAUAGAAAGAGC